rnacentral:rRNA from 1 species
GACGAACGCUGGCGGCGUGCCUUAAUACAUGCAAGUCGAGCGGAAUGAUGAAGAAGCUUGCUUCUUCUGAUUUUAGCGGCGGACGGGUGAGUACACGUGGCAACCUACCUUGUAGAUUGGGAUAACUCCGGGAAACCGGGCGUAAUACCGAAUAAUCCAUUUUGCUUCAUGGCGAGAUGUUAAAAGGCGGCUUCGGCUGUCACUACGAGAUGGGCCCGCGGCGCAUUAGCUAGUUGGUAGGGUAAUGGCCUACCAAGGCGACGAUGCGUAGCCGACCUGAGAGGGUGGAUCGGCCACACUGGGACUGAGACACGGCCCAGACUCCUACGGGAGGGCAGCAGUAGGGAAUCUUCCACAAUGGACGAAAGUCUGAUGGAGCAACGCCGCGUGAGUGAAGUAAGGUUUUCGGAUCGUAAAACUCUGUUGUAAGGGAAGAACACGUACGAGAGUAACUGCUCGUACCUUGACGGUACCUUAUUAGAAAGCCACGGCUAACUACGUG